GGACUGGAUCAACGGCUUGACGAUAAGAAAGCUGUCUCUCUUUACUAAACUCUGAAGUUAGCUGGAUAGUGAAGAGACUCUCUUAGCAAAGCGGGACGAGAAGACCCCGUUGAGCUUUAGUAAAAAUUGUUUAUUAAAAACUUAAUUACUUGAGUUGGGGCAACUAUCUUUCUUUUUUAAAACAAAGAUAAAAAUGUUUUGAGUUGAUUCUUUUAUGACCCUUAAUCUUAGGAAUAGUAGAAAAAGUUACCACGGGGAUAACAGCGUAAUUUUUUUUGAGAGUUCUUAUUGACAAAAAAGUUUGCGACCUCGAUGUUG
rnacentral:rRNA from 1 species